GCCAGACUCCUACGGGAGGCAGCAGUAGGGAAUUUUCGGCAAUGGGGGGAACCCUGACCGAGCAACGCCGCGUGAACGAAGAAGUUAUUCGUAAUGUAAAGUUCUUUUAUCAGGGAAGAAAGAGGAAUUUGACGGUACCUGAGGAAUAAGCCCCGGCUAACUACGUGCCAGCAGCCGCGGUAAUACGUAGGGGGCAAGCGUUAUCCGGAUUUACUGGGUGUAAAGGGAGCGUAGACGGAAUUGCAAGUCUGAUGUGAAAAUCCGGGGCCCAACCCCGGAACUGCAUUGGAAACUGUAUUUCUAGAGUGUCGGAGAGGCAAGUGGAAUUCCUGGUGUAGCGGUGAAAUGCGUAGAUAUCAGGAGGAACACCAGUGGCGAAGGCGGCUUGCUGGACGAUGACUGACGUUGAGGCUCGAAAGCGUGGGGAGCAAACAGGAUUAGAUACCCCAGUAA
rnacentral:rRNA from 1 species